rnacentral:snoRNA from 1 species
GCAGCCUUACUAGAACAGGAUCUGUUCUAUAGGCUUGUACCACUGCAUCUUUGAGUGCUUAUGAGCUUGCUUUAAUUGCAGGGGGUUCACUAAGUUCAGCCGUACCGAUUAUCUGAAA